AUUGCAUUUAGCCAGGUUGUAUGCAUCUGAAAAAGCUCUGUACACAUAUUUUCAGUGGAAACCUUGAUAAAAUACGACAGUGAAAAUUUCCAUGUACUUGGUUCAUCAUGGGGGCUCUUCAGCUUAGGUAAACUUACCUAAGCCUGCUUAAGUUGUUUCGUUAUGAGGUUUCACCAGACACCCCUGGCUCCAGCACCAUGGCACAGAAAAUGGGCUGCCCAACACCUGCUGCUUUGCACAUUUUGGAUGCUGCUGCUUAAUAUCUACCCCUGCUCUUCGCAGAAACUGUUUACAACUAUUUCAAAGUUUAACCUACCUCUGCAAGCCUUUGCUUAUUCAAGUGCUCUUGGUGUGAGUGAUCAGUCAGUGGAACUCUGCAUGUGUGAUGAGGAAGCACACAGGUGAGGAUUUCCAGAAGGUGGCUGCAAGUAUAUUGCAUAUCUUCACAUUCUCUUCACUAUUUUUGAUCUUGUAUGUACUUUUUUUGUCUGUUCUUCAUGUGUUGAGUGUACUUCAAGCAGCAUUGCUCUGUACUACAGAAGGCAACACAAAGUCAGUAACCAGUUCCUGAUCAUUAACUUCAGCUACCUCAAGAAGUGCCUUUUUUAGUGUGAUUAUUACUAUUAAAAGCAGUAUAAAUUUAUUGCAACAAUAAACUGACUUUUAUUGUAUCAUAAUUUUCAGCAGUUACACUAGUACAAGAUCUCAAAGGAGAAUUUGGAGGUGGGAAUUUCCUUGCCAUGAGUCAUUUCUCAAGUUACUACAGUCAUGUCCAUUAACAGCUUGAGGGUUUAGAAUUUUUAUGUUCUAGAUUUUCCCAAAAUUAGAAAACUACAAAGUUUCAAGCUUGCUGGGUCUGAAACAGCUGUUUCUAGAAUAAGUAUGUUCUUCAUUGAUUUGUGAUGGAAAGCUUGUAUCUGUGUGUGGCAACAGCAUCUGACUUCAGAUGACAAAACGUUGAAAAAUCCCCAGCUGAAAUUCGUGCAGCCAGACUGAGUGGUCAGAUAUGAUGGGUUAGAUCAGUCAUUGUAACCACCAAGAAGUGAGAAAAUGCUGGUGGAAAGUCUAGUCAGCAUGGAAAUUUAAUAUAGCACAGAUAAGCUUGGAAUCAACAGCUACACUGAUCAAAGAUGUUUUUUCUCUGUUUUUCCAUUUGUGGGUUCUGUUGUACUAGCUGACUACAGGAGUUAAGCACAGAUUAAAAUGAACACAGGUUAAGAGGAGGUCAGAAAAACAUAAUCAUCCUCUGAUGUUUUGCCAUUGAACAUGACUGAGGUUCUUGUCUGUGAAAAAAAAAAUCGCUGGUUAAUCCCUGAGCCAAGUGUAGUGAAGUCUGCUAUUUUCUGAGGCAGCAAGAUCUCUUCUUUUGACACUAACUUGCCUAUCAACUUCCUGCAUGUUAUCUAGAAGAAAAUUGUUAAUAAUAUCUUUUCUACCCCUUUAAAAAAGAAGUUAGUUCUGGAAGGGCAGAACUGGCCUCUUAACAUCCAAGAUGAAUUUGGCUCCAGAUUCGGAGGCAUCAAAGUGGGCUGGAUCCCAUUUAAACAAGUUUUCUUGCGAUUUAGGUGGGAAGCUGCAAACACCGAGAGCUUGUCUAGGCAGUAGGUGGCAGACUGCUCCCAGUAAUCUGCAGGAGGUUGUGACUCAGCCUUUCUUAGUGCCGACCGGGCUGUAGCUUAAGUUGAUGUGAAGAGAGAUGUAAAGAUGGAGAGAUUCCUAGGGUUCAAGAAGUCUACCUGCUUUCAUAGAACAUGCCGGGGAUUCUCCGGUCAGCAGUUGCCAGGAGAGGGGAUGUUGCUUCUACACGCCCUGUAUUAUCAGUUCCUAAAGUAACUGUGGCAGUUUACCCUGCCCUGCAGCAGCUGGGUGACCUUGGUCUUGUUUUGAAAGAUUUGCCACUGUUGAUACUGAGUUAGCACUCUUAUGGCUUUGACAUCUCCACAAAUCAUUAUGCUUGUAGGUUUGUCGCUACUCAGAAAUCCCUCUUAACUCCAGAUACCUCAAGAAAUUUUUUAACCAAAAUAGAGUUCAGCACAUGGAAUUAUAUGUCUGAGGAUGUCUAUGGGUACACCAAGGCCUCCAAUGAUCUCUGCAUACACAAAAUAGCUUCUCUACAGUACCCAAAAAGCUGUCCAGUCUUUUGACAAAGCCUUUUUAUUUUUUUCUUUUCUUUUUUCUUUUUUUUGUUUUGGUGCUUGCUUUCCCUAGAUGAUGCUAACUUGGAAGAAAUCUACUUCUGUCUUUAUAGCAGAUUGUAUUUCAAAUUUAAAUUCAUCUUGAAGAGUUUCCCCAAUGCCCUGCUACUAAUAAUUAAUGCACGUAAGGAAAUACUUUGUCCCUUAGCUUUUGUCUCUUAUGUUUCAUUGCAAGAGAAGCCUGUGGUGCUUACAUAAACUGUUUUUCGCAUUGUGCUUGUUUCUCAUGCCACUAUUUUGCUGCCAAGUACUCUAUCUAGUGUGUACCAAGACAUUUCCUUCCCGCCUAGGACUAGGUUCUUGUACCAAAAAACCACACAACACAAUGGUUUGUAAACACUUGGUGGAGCUGCCCAUCCACUAUGCAAAAAUAUUGGAUUUGAUUUAUGGAAUGAUAUGCUUAGCAUUCACCAGAUUAUCUAAACCUGGUUUUGUCACCAGAGAAGAUUUAAAAGCAAAAGAAUCUAUAAACAUAGAUUUUCAUGAUAGGAAAAGUGUCAUAAAAGUACCAAAUAACCAAAUAUUAUGGAAUUUACAUUUUUAUUAAGAUUAUGCUUAUUUUAACUGCUUCUGUAUUUAAGAUAACUUUUGAGACUGAUCCUUUAGACUCUGCUAGUGGUUAGUGGGACAUCACAUGAGUAUGCAGAAGCAUAGUUCUUUUGGUUUUUCUUUCCUGCUCAGGCUAUUUAACAUUUCUACUGCAUGCUUUGGUUAGACUAACAUUAUGCCAUCAGUCUUCAAGAUGCUUUCUCUUGCUUCUAUCUUCCUUAGAACAUGAUGGAAUUACUUUACAAAUUACACAUGAUGAAACAUAUAGAUUGUCCUUUCUCAAGAAAAAAAAAAGAA